rnacentral:rRNA from 1 species
AUCCGGAAUCCGACGCUCUCCCCAAGGACACAAGCCAUGCAUGCCCGCGCACCCGGGAGGCGGCGGACGGCUCAGGACAACGGUUGCACCCCCCGCGGCGGUCCCUGCUAGCCGGACACCGCUGGCAACCCGGCGCCAAGACGUGCGCGCAAGGGCGGGCGCCCGCGGGCGAGCAGCGUGACGCAGCGACGGCCCGCCCGGGCUCCGGGGCAUCACCCGGUCGGCGCGGUCGCGGCGCGCCGAGGGCCCGACGCCCGGGCGGAACGGGGG